GACGAACGCUGGCGGCGUGCUUAACACAUGCAAGUCGAACGGAAAGGCCCUGCUUUUGUGGGGUGCUCGAGUGGCUCACGGGUGAGUAACACGUGAGUAACCUGCCCUUGACUUUGGGAUAACUUCAGGAAACUGGGGCUACUACCGGAUAGGCGCUCCUGCUGCAUGGUGGGGGUUGGAAAGUUUCGGCGGUUGGGGAUGGACUCGCGGCUUAUCAGCUUGUUGGUGGGGUAGUGGCUUACCAAGGCUUUGACGGGUAGCCGGCCUGAGAGGGUGACCGGCAACAUUGGGACUGAGAUACGGCCCAGACUCCUACGGGAGGCAGCAGUGGGGAAUAUUGCACAAUGGGCGGAAGCCUGAUGCAGCAACGCCGCGUGCGGGAUGACGGCCUUCGGGUUGUAAACCGCUUGCGCCUGGGACGAAGCGUGAGUGACGGUAAUGGGUAAAGAAGCACCGGCUAACUACGUG
rnacentral:rRNA from 1 species